GUAAAAUUGUGGGGGAACUCGCGAGAGUUGAGAAGGUAAAACCUAACCCUUUGAACCUGUCAGUUAACACUGGUGUAGGGAAGCAAUUUUUAUUAUCAA
rnacentral:ncRNA from 2 species